AUUUAAAACAGCAUCCAAAGCAGCCUUAAAUAUCCAAGGAACCCCACUAAGAGACAGUCCUUACUAGGCCCUACAGGGUCACUAUUUCGUAUGUGGCCGAAAGGCUUACAAGGUGCUGCCAGCCAACUGGACAAGUAGCUGUUGUAUAGCUCAUGGAGUUCCUCAUCUUUCGAUAACUACCACGCUGCCCAAAGGAAAGAUUAGAAAUGCCCGAGAUACCUCUGUUAAGUCACGAGAAGAGACCCUACAGCAACUCAAUGCGGCAUUGGAGGGCAAUGUUAAGAAUCCCCUCGCAACUGAAAAGCUUGUAGGGUGCUCUAUACUGGGAAUAGCGCCACUGUUUACCGGGCCGGCCCUGGUAUGCAUAGGUCGCUAUACUGUAAGGCUUCAAAUGGUACUUGAGAAAGUCGCCUUAGAGUUAGAGGACUCGAUUAGUGAUUUAGGAUCGGCAGUAAAAACAUUAAAUAAAGAGGUACAGCAGCUCAGGACGUAUUCCCUCCAAAACAGGCAGGCUUUGGACUACCUCUUGGCAUCCCAAGGGGGGGUUUGUGCCCUCGUCGGGUCCCGAUGUUGUGUAUAUGUAAAUGAUAGCAGUUAUGAGGUCUAUGAAAAGGUGGUACAGGCUGAGGCCCAUGCCCGAGCCAGAGCACAGGCUGCCUACACUGCCCCCGAGAGUGAUUGGUUGCAAACCUUGUUUUCAGGAUGGGGUUUGUCAUCUUGGCUUGGUGGUUUAUUUAGCCUGUUAUUGAAAAUUCUCCUUCCUGUACUGAUUGUACUGAUGGUGUUAUGUUAUGCAGUAUCAUGUGUCAGGACCCUUUUGAAAAAUUUGGUAAUUCAUUCUCUUCAGGGCUAUCACAAAGUGCUUAUGCAAAGUCCCAUUGUAAAAAGAUAAGUAGCCCAA